rnacentral:rRNA from 1 species
CCUACGGGGGGCAGCAGUGGGGAAUAUUGGACAAUGGGGGCAACCCUGAUCCAGCCAUGCCGCGUGUGUGAAGAAGGCCCUCGGGUUGUAAAGCACUUUCAGUGAGGAAGAACGCCUGGUGGUUAAUACCCAUCAGGAAAGACAGAACUCACAGAAGAAGCACCGGCUAACUCCGUGCCAGCAGCCGCGGUAAUACGGAGGGUGCGAGCGUUAAUCGGAAUUACUGGGCGUAAAGCGCGCGUAGGUGGCUUGAUAAGCCGGUUGUGAAAGCCCCGGGCUCAACCUGGGAACGGCAUCCGGAACUGUCAAGCUAGAGUGCAGGAGAGGAAGGUAGAAUUCCCGGUGUAGAGGUGAAAUGCGUAGAGAUCGGGAGGAAUACCAGUGGCGAAGGCGGCCUUCUGGACUGAAACUGACACUGAGGUGCGAAAGCGUGGGUAGCAAACAGGAUUAGAUACCCUGGUAGUC